rnacentral:rRNA from 1 species
ACGAUGAAGAGUUUGAUCCUGGCUCAGGAUGAACGCUAGCGGCAGGCUUAACACAUGCAAGUCGAGGGGUAACAUUGUGCUUGCACAGAUGACGACCGGCGAACGGGUGCGUAACGCGUAUAGAAUCUACCUCUUACUAAGGGAUAGCCCAGAGAAAUUUGGAUUAAGACCUUAUAGUAUAUAAGACUGGCAUUCAGUUUUAUAUUAAAGAUUACGGUAAGAGAUGACUAUGGCGUCCUAUUAGCUAGAUGGGUGUGGUAACGGCACACCAUGGCAAGCGAUAGGUAGGGGGCCCUGAGAGGGGGAUCCCCCACACUGGUACUGAGACACGGACCAGACUCCUACGGGAGGCAGCAGUGAGGAAUAUUGGACAAUGGAGGCAACUCUGAUCCAGCCAUGCCGCGUGCAGGAUGACUGCCCUAUGGGUUUGUAAACUGCUUUUAUACAGGAAGAAACCAUCUCACGUGUGAGAUCUUGACGGUACUGUAAGAAUAAGGAUCGGCUAACUCCGUGCAGCAGCCGCGGUAAUACGGAGGAUCCAAGCGUUAUCCGGAAUCAUUGGGUUUAAAGGGUCCGUAGGUGGAUAAUUAAGUCAGAGGUGAAAAUCCUGCAGCUCAACUGUAGAAUUGCCUUUGAUACUGGUUAUCUUGAGUUAUUAUGAAGUAGUUAGAAUAUGUAGUGUAGCGGUGAAAUGCAUAGAUAUUACAUAGGAAUACCAAUUGCGAAGGCAGAUUACUAAUAAUAUACUGACACUGAUGGACGAAAGCGUGGGGAGCGAACAGGAUUAGAUACCCUGGUAGUCCACGCCGUAAACGAUGGUCACUAGCUGUUCGAACUUCGGUUUGAGUGGCUAAGCGAAAGUGAUAAGUGACCCACCUGGGGAGUACGUUCGCAAGAAUGAAACUCAAAGGAAUUGACGGGGGCCCGCACAAGCGGUGGAGCAUGUGGUUUAAUUCGAUGAUACGCGAGGAACCUUACCAGGGCUUAAAUGUAGAUUGACAGGACUAGAGAUAGUUUUUUCUUCGAGACAAUUUACAAGGUGCUGCAUGGUUGUCGUCAGCUCGUGCCGUGAGGUGUCAGGUUAAGUCCUAUAACGAGCGCAACCCCUGUUGUUAGUUGCCAGCGAGUCAUGUCGGGAACUCUAACAAGACUGCCAUGUGCAAACUGUGAGGAAGGUGGGGAUGACGUCAAAUCAUCACGGCCCUUACGUCCUGGGCUACACACGUGCUACAAUGGUAGGGACAGAGAGCAGCCACUUGGGCGAACCAGGAGCGAAUCUAUAAACCCUAUCACAGUUCGGAUCGGAGUCUGCAACUCGACUCCGUGAAGCUGGGAAUCGCUAGUAAUCGCAUAUCAGCCAUGAUGCGGUGAAUACGUUCCCGGGCCUUGUACACACCGCCCGUCAAGCCAUGGAAGCUGGGAGUGCCUGAAGUCCGUCGCCGUAAGGAGCGGCCUAGGGUAAAAUCGGUAACUAGGGCUAAGUCGUAACAAGGUAGCCGUACCGGAAGGUGCGGCUGGAACACCUCCUUUCU